rnacentral:rRNA from 1 species
GUGCCAGCCGCCGCGGUAAUACGGAGGAUCCGAGCGUUAUCCGGAUUUAUUGGGUUUAAAGGGUGCGCAGGCGGGAUGUUAAGUCGGCGGUGAAAUUUUGCGGCUCAACCGUAAAAGUGCCUUCGAAACUGGCAUUCUUGAGUAUGGAUGAAGUAGGCGGAAUUUGUGGUGUAGCGGUGAAAUGCUUAGAUAUCACGAGGAACUCCGAUUGCGCAGGCAGCUUACUAAACCAUAACUGACGCUCAUGCACGAAGGCGUGGGGAUCAAACAGGAUUAGAUACCCUGGUAGUCCACGCAGUAAACGAUGAUUACUAGUUGUUUGCGAUACAAUGUAAGCGACUGAGCGAAAGCAUUAAGUAAUCCACCUGGGGAGUACGUUCGCAAGAAUGAAACUCAAAUAAAUUGACGG